rnacentral:misc_RNA from 1 species
UUUCCGUAGGUGAACCUGCGGAAGGAUCAUUAAUGAGUUGUCAUGGGGUUCGAUGCUGGCAGCCAGUUUUUGGAUGCAUGUGCUUGCCCUAACAAUCAUCUUCUUCCAAACACCUGUGCACAUUUUUGAGGGAGUCUUGGGUUGGUUGCCGCUCUUGGGUGAUUUUCUCACAUUCCCUUAAAUCAUUAUACGCUAUUAACAAUGUUGAACGUGCUCUGUGCCGCAAGGCCAUUAAUAUAAUACAACUUUUAACAACGGAUCUCUUGGCUCUC